rnacentral:rRNA from 1 species
ACGUAGGUGACAAGCGUUAUCCGGAAUUACUGGGCGUAAAGCGCACGCAGGCGGCGCGUUAAGUCUGACGUGAAAUCCCUCAGCUUAACUGGGGAACUGCGUCUGAUACUGGCGAGCUUGAGUGCAGGAGAGGAACGCGGAAUUCCAGGUGUAGCGGUGAAAUGCGUAGAUAUCUGGAGGAACACCGGUUGCGAAGGCGGCGUUCUGGACUGCAACUGACACUGAGGAACGAAAGCCAGGGGAGCAAACGGGA